UUAUAUAGGGUGUUGCAACGAUAGUUGACGAAGUAGAUGAAGUGCUCGGAGUUGGACUAGAAGCCCGUGAAGAUCUCGAAGACUUUGAUGAACCAGGCAAGCAACCCCUUGACCAUGACUUGAAACCAUUUUAUGCGUGUCAUAUGGCACUUUACUUUGUUGCAUUUGAAUCAUGUCGAAUUGGUGACCACCUUGGUGGGUUGUCUCCGAUAACUCCUCAUUAAUACUUGCAUUAAGCAUGACCCUACCUUCCUAUGAGGAUUAUGCGGGUGGGAAAUAGUUAGGAUGCUAUAUAGAUGCUGCGCUAAUGGGAUGGGAAUAUGCAUGGUGUCAGAAUAAGGAAUGAUUUCAAAGACUUUUUGAAAACCCGUCGGGUGCCACAAAUGCCCGAGGGAAAUGGUGACAAGACUAGGUGACCACUUGAGAAAGAAGUGGUGUACCAAAA
rnacentral:lncRNA from 1 species